AGGAGUUUGAAUCCUGGCUCAGAACGAACGCUGGCGGCAGGCUUAACACAUGCAAGUCGAACGAGAAGCCGGAGCUUGCUCCGGUGGAAAGUGGCAGACGGGUGAGUAACGCGUGGGAAUUUACCCAGUGGUUCGGAAUAACGCAUGGAAACGUGUGCUAAUACCGGAUACGCCCUCCGGGGGAAAGAUUUAUCGCCAUUGGAUGAGCCCGCGUCGGAUUAGCUAGUUGGUGAGGUAAAAGCUCACCAAGGCGACGAUCCGUAGCUGGUCUGAGAGGAUGAUCAGCCACACUGGGACUGAGACACGGCCCAGACUCCUACGGGAGGCAGCAGUGGGGAAUAUUGCGCAAUGGAGGAAACUCUGACGCAGCCAUGCCGCGUGAGUGAAGAAGGCCUUAGGGUUGUAAAACUCUUUCGCUAGGGAAGAUAAUGACGGUACCUAGUAAAGAAGCCCCGGCCAACUCCGUGCCAGCAGCCGCGGUAAUACGGAGGGGGCUAGCGUUGUUCGGAUUUACUGGGCGUAAAGCGCGCGUAGGCGGGCUGGUUAGUUGGGGGUGAAAUCCCAGGGCUUAACCCUGGAACUGCCCUCAAUACUGCCAGUCUUGAGUUCGAGAGAGGUAAGUGGAAUUCCUAGUGUAGAGGUGAAAUUCGUAGAUAUUAGGAAGAACACCAGUGGCGAAGGCGGCUUACUGGCUCGAUA
rnacentral:rRNA from 1 species